rnacentral:rRNA from 1 species
UCUUUAAUUAGGAUCUUGUAUGAAUGAUUGAACAAGAGAUUUACUGUCUUUAUAUUAAAAUUUGAAUUUAACUUUUAAGUGAAAAGGCUUAAAUAAGCUAAAGGGACGAUAAGACCCUAUAAAACUUUACAUUAUAAAUUAAUUUUUAUUAAUUUUUAUUAUAAUAAUUAAGGUUAAUUUUUUUGUUAUAUUGGGGAGAUAAAAGCAUAAGGUAUAUUAACUGCUUAAGAAUAAAACAAUAAAUAAUUGGAUAAUAAUAGAUCUUUUUUAAGGAUUAAAAGAUUAAGUUACUUUAGGGAUAACAGCGUUAUUUUUUUUGANAGUUCUUAUCGAAAAAGAAGAUUGCGACCUCGAUGUUGAAUUAAAAUUUCUUUAUAAUGUAGGUGUUAUAAAAGAAGGACUGUUCGACCUUUAAAAUUUUA